UUGUAGGUUGCUCUGAAUUACCUGCUGGAUAAGUUGGGUGGGGACUACUCGAAAACGGUAGGUGUGAUUGAUCUUGGAGGUGGGUCCGUGCAAAUGGCAUAUGCCAUUUCUCCUGCCACCGCUGUUGCCGCUCCAGGAGUGCCUCACGGCAAGGAUCCUUAUGUUACAAAAGAGUAUCUCAAGAGAAGAGAUUACAACGUUUAUGUUCACAGCUACUUACGCUACGGCGCCUUAGCUUCUCGCGUAGAGAUCUUCAAGGCUAAGGAAGGACCAUUUAGCUACUGCAUGCUUCGUGGCUUCAGUGGCAAAUACACCUACAACGGUGAGGAGUACAAUGCUACCGCGUCAACGGGAGGUGCACAAUACGGGAAGUGCAGAGGUGAUGUAAUGAAGGCACUCAAACUUGAUGCUCCUUGCCAAGCCAAGAAGUGCACCUUCGACGGCGUGUGGAACGGCGGGGGCGGCCCCGGCCAGGCCAACCUCUAUGUCGCAUCUAGCUUCUACUACAUGGCCUCGCAGGUUGGCCUCAUCGACAGUGAUGCACCAAGCGGGACGUCCACCCCAAUGGCUUUCAGAGCCGUUGCCUAGAAGAUAUGUAGAAUGAGCUUGAAAGAAGUGAAGGCUAAGUACCCCAAGGUCCGCGACAUACCCUACGUUUGCAUGGACCUCGUCUAUCAAUACUCCUUCCUCGUCGAUGGGUUUGGUUUGGAACCCACCAAGAAUAUUACACUCGUGGAGAAGGUGAAGCAUGGCCUCUUGGAGAAGCUAUUGAGGCCGUGGCACCCAAAAAGGGGACUUGACAAUAGAUGUCCCAUGAUACGCUUGGCUUCGCUUACAAUUAUUGCUCUUUUUGAUAAAGGGAACUUUUAUUAUCUCAAGAUAUAG
rnacentral:rRNA from 1 species